ensembl:lncRNA
UAUAAGAAGGACUUCUGGCCAUAACGCUCUGUUAGAAGGUAACACAAGCCAAUAUCCUGAAUCCCAGGCUUGUGACCAGCCACCAAACCGGUACCCAAAGGACAGGAGUGGUCCAAGCAGCAGUAGCAAAUGUCAUCUCCCACUAAACCUGCCCAGAGGAAAAUGGAGAAGUAUACUCAAAGAUGGUGUUUGCCUACCUCACAGUGCAAAGCAAAGUCUCAGUGACAUGACUCCACAUUUUUAUUUUGCACUUCAGAUUGUCUCAAAUAUUUCCAGUGGAUGGUAAAUGCUGUCUUCUGUAACAAGUUCUCCUGAAGCCUUACUUGAUCGUGAUUACAAGGUAAAUCUCAUAAUCAGAGACUCUUCUAAAUGCUGAAGGAUUGCUGGGGUUCAGAAGGAUCUAUCUCAGCUUAUAUGUAACUCAAUUUCCAAUGAAGAUCAAUAUUCUUCAUAAAUAUCCUAAAACUUACUCCGGUCAGUGGAUAAAACUUUUCUAAAGAAGAAAGUAUACUUUUGUUGUUAUAGAAUU